rnacentral:rRNA from 1 species
GGCUUGAGAGGGCGACCGGCCACAUUGGGACUGAGAUACGGCCCAGACUCCUACGGGAGGCAGCAGUGGGGAAUAUUGCACAAUGGGCGCAAGCCUGAUGCAGCGACGCCGCGUGCGGGAUGACGGCCUUCGGGUUGUAAACCGCUUUUGACUGGGAGCAAGCCCUUCGGGGUGAGUGUACCUUUCGAAUAAGCACCGGCUAACUACGUGCCAGCAGCCGCGGUAAUACGUAGGGUGCAAGCGUUAUCCGGAAUUAUUGGGCGUAAAGGGCUCGUAGGCGGUUCGUCGCGUCCGGUGUGAAAGUCCAUCGCUUAACGGUGGGUCCGCGCCGGGUACGGGCGGGCUUGAGUGCGGUAGGGGAGACUGGAAUUCCCGGUGUAACGGUGGAAUGUGUAGAUAUCGGGAAGAACACCAAUGGCGAAGGCAGGUCUCUGGGCCGUCACUGACGCUGAGGAGCGAAAGCGUGGGGAGCGAACAGGAUUAGAUACCCUGGUAGUCCACGCCGUAAACGGUGGAUGCUGGAUGUGGGGACCAUUCCACGGUCUCCGUGUCGGAGCCAACGCGUUAAGCAUCCCGCCUGGGGAGUACGGCCGCAAGGCUAAAACUCAAAGAAAUUGACGGGGGCCCGCACAAGCGGCGGAGCAUGCGGAUUAAUUCGAUGCAACGCGAAGAACCUUACCUGGGCUUGACAUGUUCCCGACAGCCCCAGAGAUGGGGCCUCCCUUCGGGGCGGGUUCACAGGUGGUGCAUGGUCGUCGUCAGCUCGUGUCGUGAGAUGUUGGGUUAAGUCCCGCAACGAGCGCAACCCUCGCCCUGUGUUGCCAGCACGUCGUGGUGGGAACUCACGGGGGACCGCCGGGGUCAACUCGGAGGAAGGUGGGGAUGACGUCAGAUCAUCACGCCCCUUACGUCCAGGGCUUCACGCAUGCUACAAUGGCCGGUACAACGGGAUGCGACCUCGUGAGGGGGAGCGGAUCCCUUAAAACCGGUCUCAGUUCGGAUUGGAGUCUGCAACCCGACUCCAUGAAGGCGGAGUCGCUAGUAAUCGCGGAUCAGCAACGCCGCGGUGAAUGCGUUCCCGGGCCUUGUACACACCGCCCGUCAAGUCAUGAAAGUGGGUAGCACCCGAAGCCGGUGGCCCAACCUUUUUGGGGGGAGCCGUCUAAGGUGAGACUCGUGAUUGGGACUAAGUCGUAACAAGGUAGC